rnacentral:rRNA from 1 species
GAUGAACGCUGGCGGCGUGCCUAACACAUGCAAGUCGAGCGAAGCACUUUGCUUAGAUUCUUCGGAUGAAGAGGAUUGUGACUGAGCGGCGGACGGGUGAGUAACGCGUGGGUAACCUGCCUCAUACAGGGGGAUAACAGUUAGACAUGACUGCUAAUACCGCAUAAGACCACAGCACCGCAUGGUGCGGGGGUAAAAACUCCGGUGGUAUGAGAUGGACCCGCGUCUGAUUAGCUAGUUGGUAAGGUAACGGCUUACCAAGGCGACGAUCAGUAGCCGACCUGAGAGGGUGACCGGCCACAUUGGGACUGAGACACGGCCCAAACUCCUACGGGAGGCAGCAGUGGGGAAUAUUGCACAAUGGGGGAAACCCUGAUGCAGCGACGCCGCGUGAGCGAAGAAGUAUUUCGGUAUGUAAAGCUCUAUCAGCAGGGAAGAAAAUGACGGUACCUGACUAAGAAGCACCGGCUAAAUACGUGCCAGCAGCCGCGGUAAUACGUAUGGUGCAAGCGUUAUCCGGAUUUACUGGGUGUAAAGGGAGCGUAGACGGAUGGGCAAGUCUGAUGUGAAAACCCGGGGCUCAACCCCGGGACUGCAUUGGAAACUGUUCAUCUAGAGUGCUGGAGAGGUAAGUGGAAUUCCUAGUGUAGCGGUGAAAUGCGUAGAUAUUAGGAGGAACACCAGUGGCGAAGGCGGCUUACUGGACAGUAACUGACGUUGAGGCUCGAAAGCGUGGGGAGCACACAGG